rnacentral:rRNA from 1 species
AACGAACGCUGGCGGCAUGCCUAACACAUGCAAGUCGAACGAGACCUUCGGGUCUAGUGGCGCACGGGUGCGUAACGCGUGGGAACCUGCCCUUAGGUUCGGAAUAACUCCCCGAAAGGGGUGCUAAUACCGGAUAAUGUCUUCGGACCAAAGAUUUAUCGCCUUUGGGUGGGCCCGCGUUGGAUUAGCCAGGUGGUAGGGUAAAAGCCUACCACGGGGAAGAUCCAUAGCUGGUCUGAGAGGCUGAGCCGCCACACUGGGACUGGGACACGGUGCAGACUCUUACGGAAUGCAGCAGUGGGGAAUAUUGGACAAUGGGGGAAGUGCUGAUGCAGCAAUGCCGGGUGAGUGAUGAAGGCGGUAGGGUUGUAAAGCUCUUUUACCCGGGAUGAUAAUGACGGUACCGGGAGAAUAAGCACCGGCUAACUCCGUG